rnacentral:rRNA from 1 species
GACGAACGCUGGCGGCGUGCUUAACACAUGCAAGUCGAACGGUAAGGCCCUUCGGGGUACACGAGUGGCGAACGGGUGAGUAACACGUGGGUGAUCUGCCCUGCACUUCGGGAUAAGCCUGGGAAACUGGGUCUAAUACCGGAUAGGACCCUGGGAUGCAUGUCCUGGGGUGGAAAGCUUUUGCGGUGUGGGAUGGGCCCGCGGCCUAUCAGCUUGUUGGUGGGGUGAUGGCCUACCAAGGCGACGACGGGGAGCCGGCCUGAGAGGGUGACCGGCCACACUGGGACUGGGAUACGGCCCAGACUCCUACGGGAGGCAGCAGUGGGGAAGAUUGCACAAUGGGCGCAAGCCUGAUGCAGCGACGCCGCGUGAGGGAUUACGGCCUUCGGGUUGUAAACCUCUUUCAGCACCGACGAAGCGCAAGUGACGGUAGGUGCAGAAGAAGGACCGGCCAACUACGUGCCAGCCGCCGCCGUAA